AAAGAUUUAUCGGAGAAGGAUCAGCCCGCGUUAGAUUAGAUAGUUGGUGGGGUAAUGGCCUACCAAGUCUACGAUCUAUAGCUGGUUUUAGAGGAUGAUCAGCAACACUGGGACUGAGACACGGCCCAGACUCCUACGGGAGGCAGCAGUGGGGAAUAUUGGACAAUGGGCGCAAGCCUGAUCCAGCCAUGCCGCGUGAGUGAUGAAGGCCUUAGGGUUGUAAAGCUCUGUCGUGAGGGAAGAAGAUCUGACGGUACCUCACAAGAAAGCACCGGCUAACUCCGUGCCAGCAGCCGCGGUAA
rnacentral:rRNA from 1 species